CCUACGGGGGGCUGCAGUGGGAAUUUUUCGCAAUGGGGGCAACCCUGACGAAGCAAUGCCGCGUGAAUGAAGAAGGCCUUCGGGUUGUAAAGUUCUUUCGUGGAGGACGAAAAGGUGGGGGCUAAUAUCGCCUGCUGUUGACGGGAAUCCAAGAAAAAGCACCGGCUAAAUCCGUGCCAGCAGCCGCGGUAAUACGGGGGGGGCAAGCGUUAAUCGGAAUCACUGGGCGUAAAGGGUGCGUAGGCGGUGCAUUAGGUCUGUCGUGAAAUCCCCGGGCUCAACCUGGGAAUGGCGGUGGAAACCGGUGUACUAGAGUAUGGGAGAGGGUGGUGGAAUUCCAGGUGUAGCGGUGAAAUGCGUAGAGAUCUGGAGGAACAUCAGUGGCGAAGGCGGCCACCUGGCCCAAUACUGACGCUGAGGCACGAAAGCGUGGGGAGCAAACAGGAUUAGAUACCCGAGUAGUCA
rnacentral:rRNA from 1 species